rnacentral:ncRNA from 3 species
CUGUGUUCUCGGGGCGGGGUGGAAGUCCCUACCGGCGGUAACAGGCCCAUGGCCUGAAGCCCGCGAGCGCCCGGCACGCGCCGGGGUCAGCAGAUCUGGUGCAAUGCCAGGGCCGACGGUUACAGUCCGGAUAAAAGAGAACUGGC